rnacentral:rRNA from 1 species
CGUAGGGGUGCAAGCGUUAAUCGGAAUUACUGGGCGUAAAGCGUGCGCAGGCGGUUUCGUAAGUCUGUCGUGAAAUCCCCGGGCUCAACCUGGGAAUGGCGAUGGAGACUGCGAGGCUAGAGUUUGGCAGAGGGGGGUAGAAUUCCACGUGUAGCAGUGAAAUGCGUAGAGAUGUGGAGGAACACCGAUGGCGAAGGCAGCCCCCUGGGUCAAAACUGACGCUCAUGCACGAAAGCGUGGGGAGCAAACAGGAUUAGAUACCCUGGUAGUCCACGCCCUAAACGAUGUCUACUAGUUGUUGGGUCUUAAUUGACUUAGUAACGCAGCUAACGCGUGAAGUAGACCGCCUGGGGAGUACGGUCGCAAGAUUA